rnacentral:tRNA from 1 species
AGGCGAGUAGCUCAGUGGAAUAGAGCAUACGGUUCCGAACCGUAGAGUCAAGGGUUCGAUUCCCCUCUCGCCUA